GCCCCUUUGAAAGCACUGCUGUGUCACUUAAGAAGUCUGCUUUUCUUCCCACUGGGGAACUAGGAGAGAUCAGAGAUCUGAGUUGCCUGAACAUCUAGAUGACUCUAAAACACAGCAAAAGCUCAGGACAAAUAUCAAACUGAGCCUCAGUAGAUAUCCUUGCACAGUAUUUACCUUACAAUGUAGCCGAUAGUUUUCAGAACAGCCAUUCCACUAUUAUUGAAGUAAAGGAGCUAAUCUAAGGGAAGGUAAGUGAAGAAAGCAAUGCUGUGAUAUCGCAGGAUGAAACAAAAAUCUCAGCAGCACUGGACAUAAUGUGCCACUAACUGCAAACAUUUCUGUCACUAACUUUCUCUGCCAAUUUACUCUUUGACAGCUUUAAAGGUAAUAAAAAUAAGAAUUACAGGCAUAUUUCAAUCGACUGCAACACUCUGGAGGACGGCGAAGAAGACUUGGACAGUUUGCAGUAUUUUAUUGAUGAGUGUUUAGCAAACAUUCAACACUCCACUAGUUAGUUUAAACAUGACCACCCUGAGGUUUGUCUCAUGGAAUGUAUGUGGAAUCGGUUCCAGGGAAAAGAGGCUUAAAAUUACUAACCGAUUAAAUGACUUACAGGCAGACAUUGUCUUUCUACAGGAGACUCACAUGUCCAAAACAUCUUGUACACACACUCACUUCUCCACAGUUCCCUCACACGUUCUCAGCCUGUUACAACUCAAAACAAAGAGGCGUAGCCAAAUUAAUUAGCAGAAAAAUAAACUUCACUGUUAGCAACACUAUUACAGAUCUAGAAGGCAAAGUUUACAAAACUUAAUUUAUGUAUUCAAAAUAUGGAUCUGUCAUAUGCUGUGGGAGUGUCUGGUCGGGUGUGGUCCAGGUUCCUGUUGUCCGUCCCCUGGGGUGGAGUUGGCCAGCUCAUCACCUGCUUCCAAUUUCCGGGGCUCCAUCUAGAGGGUUUUUAAGCCAGCACUGCCUGCUACUCCUCGCCAGUUCGUCCUGCUACCACCCGUGAUUCAUCACCCGUCGUACUCACCAGCAGUGCUGGUUCUGUUUCCGUCCCGUUCUCCCGUCUGCCCAGAACCCGAGGACCACACACUCAUCUUCUCCUCAGCCUGCCCUCCAGCCCGUACUUCAACCUCCCUGGACACCUUGGAACCUGGACCAGCCUCCCCACACUCUCAACCAUCCCUGGAACGCCCCCCACGGCAACCCCUUCCCCGCCUAAUAGCCGGUGUUUUCAAAAGUUCCCGCCCAUGUUCUCCCUGUGUUCUACGUCCGUUUCUCCGCCCUCGGGCCUCCCUCAGUUCCUGCGAAUUAUUUCUGUUAGACCCAGUCUUGUUCCUUUUCCUUUCAAUAAAUUGUACAUAG